rnacentral:lncRNA from 1 species
AUGGUCCAGCGUUUGACAUACCAAUGUAGGCAUUCCUACAGUACAGCCUCUAACAAAAGUAGGCUGUUCCGAACCCCUGGUAAUAGAAUACCUUUAUACCAAGAAGGUUGGAAAAGCAUCAAAAUCUGCUUGUGGCAUGUGCCCAGGCAGACUUCGAGGGGUUCGUGCUGUAAGACUUAAAGUUCUUAUGAAAUUGUCCAAAACAAACAAACAUGUCAGCAGGGCCUAUGGUGGUUCCAUGUGUGCUAAAUGUGUUCGUGGCAGGAUCAAGCGUGCUUUCCUUAUUGAGGAGCAGAAAAUCGUUGUGAAAGUGUUGAAGGCACAAGCAGAGUCU